AUGUGGAGUUGUUCCCCAACCGAAGGAAUGGAUGAAGACUAUGGUAUCCAGCCGGCGAGUCCCAGCCACAUUACCUUGCCGAAUGCUGUGGUGCUCAGCAAUAAUUUUGGAUUGAUGGAUUGUCGUUGGCUGUUGCAGGUUUCAGAGAGGGUAGAGAAAGUGAUGUUCAGACAUUUAAGUGCAGCAACAGAGUUUUCAUCCUUCUUUGCUGGUUGUGUUCCUCUGCUGGGACCAUUGCUGUGGUCUGAACUUCAGAGUUUUCAUCCACUCAAUGCUGAUUCAGUCAAAGAUCUCUGGGAAGAAAAUUAUUUCGACAAGAUUCACUCUACCGUGCUUAUCGCGGUCCUCUAG
rnacentral:rRNA from 1 species